rnacentral:lncRNA from 1 species
UGAGCCUUUUGGUUUUUUUGGCGACGUUUUACAGACCAAUUUGUAUAGUUCGAAAAAUUCGAGCCAGCCAAUCUCUAGAAGAGAAAUUGCAAACGCAAUAGGUAUUGUGCCAUUAAACGGUAUAUCAACAGACAUUGAAACAGAUUUGUCUAGAUCGGAAACAAAGUUGAGCAAGCCAAUCUUUAAAAGAGAACUUACAAACCGAAACGUUGUUAAACGAAAUGCAAACAACAAUCGAUUGGUUAAAGAAAUAGAUAACUAUGAAAAGAAAUUCUACCGUGCUCGAACAAAUUAGGAUUAAGGCAUUGAUUUGUUAUUUUCUUGGCUGGAAGGAUUGGAAAAUCACCUAAUUGAUUAAUUGCCAUACGAUGAAUUUAUCA